rnacentral:lncRNA from 1 species
UGAACCCAGAGCAACAAGAAUGGCUUCUUCAGUCUUUCAGAUGAUGAUGGCCAUAGGGCUGCUCACUUUGAUUCUUACUUCUUAUGCUGGUGACAACAAUUCCAACUCUGAUCAAAACAAGGACAAAGAAAUCUCAGAAAUGUUUUCAUUUCUGGGCAUGGGAAUUAUUGAAUCUGCGAUGGACUAUAUUCUCAACUCAAUGUUCAGGACCUCUGGAUAUAUGAAUUGGGGAAACAAGCAAGGAAAGACUCCAGGAAAAUGACUGGUAAGUUAAAGACUGAUUUUAACAUCUAACUUUCAAGCCUACAUAAA